UCUUUCUUUCUUUCCUCUUCUUCUUCUGUUAAUGAUUUCGAGAAUCAGUUCAUGAUUCUGAGUUGAUAUAAGCUGGCAGAGAUCGAAGGUUAAUUGAUGGUGGUAGUUUUGGUUGAUGAGAUGAAAACAAAUCCAACAGAAAAAGUGAAACAAAUAAUUAUAAUUAGGGUUUUAGAUUUCAUUUUGAGAUUCGUUGAAUUGAUUAGUAUUUUGUGUUUAUGUUGGAUGAAGAAAGAAGUGGUUGGUGUUUAAUUAGAGUUUUGAGGUUGAUUCAGUGGAGAAUCAUUGUGGAGAUUUGAUCUAGGGUUUCAGUAGAGUUGCAGAAGAGAAUCCUAAGAUGAAUUUGAUACUCUAGAAGAUCAAUUGAAGAUGGGUUUUGUGUGUUGAACGUAAAUGAGAAGAUUUAAUAUCUGAUUUUAGAUUCACAGAGAAGAAUUUAAGAAUUAGGGUUUCAUGUUCUUCCCCAAUUUAAGAACUAGGGUUUUGAGAAUUAAACAGAUUGUUUAGGGAGAAGAUGAUUUGGUAUUGAUUGUUUGGAAUCAGAAGAAAUAAGGGGUUGGUUUCAAUCUGGUUGAGACAAGCUGACCUGAGGUAUUUGAUCUUCUCUGUAAUUUUAGUUAAGUUAUUCAUUUCAAAUUGUUGAAUUUAUGAAUGUUUGUUGAGCUAAGAAUUGAAAUGAUAUUGGAGAGGGUGUUGUGAACUGUUGGUGUUGAAGUUGAUUGAGAUAAACUGAGUAAAGGUUGUUUGAGUGUGAGAUUGUGAAGGAUUGGGUUUGAAGUCAGUUAUCAAGAAGAAUAAGAGUUCAAUUGUUGCUGGCAGUGGUGGUGUAAUUGAAUGUGCAGGGUUGUUUGAGAUGAUUUCUAGAUGAAUGUUAGGUUAUUAAAAGGCGGCAUCUAUAGGAAAAGUAUAGUUGAUGAUUUGUGGUCUUAGUUGGAGUUGUUAUGGUUGCGUAUAAGUUUGGUUUGAGAAAGUUCAGAGAGGUGGUGAUGUUGUCUAUGGAGUUCUAUUUGUGUUUGAGUUGCGGAUAACAGUACAUGGAGGAGGCCUGGGAUGCAUUUGAAUGGGCACUGGGGUUACAGUACAAUGAAAUAAUAAGUUAAACCCUGUGAAGUGAGGUAAUGGUGGUAUAUGUGGUAUUGCAAGUGUUAUGAGUAAUUACAUUAAAAGUGUAGGAGCUGUAGUGUUGUUUGAAUUGGAGUUUAAUUGAAUGAAAUGGGAAAUGAAUGGAACUGUCAGUUGCAGAAAAGGGUUGAGUUGAAUCUCUUUAAUAGAAGCUUAAAGCUGCAAAAUGCAGUUAAUCCAUGUAAACAACUAUCGAUACAAAAGAUGAACCAGUGGAUCUCGAGGUAGGCAUGGCCUGUCAUCAAUUCAGUUUCAGUUAUCAGAAGAAAUGAAGCGGUCGAAGAUAUCUGUUUCGUAGCUUAGAGCUUUAUCGAAUCUAAUGUUGUUGUGUAUCUUUUACUACACGUAUUCUUUCUUUCUAUGUAAACAACACAUUGAUAUAUUCUUAGAACUCGAAAGACUUUCGUGUAUAUA